GUAUUAAAUUUUUGCCUUGCGGCAGUCAAACAUUCAUAAUCACAGAUAAGAGCUUGUAAAUUUCGAAGGCAGGUUCUACCCUCCCUUCAAAAGCAAUGUGCACAAAGUGUAAAUGGAUUAGGAGAAUGAGCACAUGCAGUUAGACUGCCAGCAUCAACCCUCUGUAAUUCGAUAAUGAUCCUUCCGCAGGUUCACCUACGGAAA
rnacentral:misc_RNA from 1 species